UGAAAUACAAUAUAUCUGUGUGAGUGUGAAUAGCCUAAAGCUGACUCAUGAGUCUGGGCACUUGGAAACCGCCCUCACAUGGGGCACACUAGGGAGAUAACUGGUUAAUCAUCCAGUCCUUAACCAAUUAAACAGGGUGGCUCAGCUCACUAGCUGAGGACAGCUAAAAGACAGGAAAAGAGGUAGUCUGGGAAGGAAGGGUUGGAGAAGCCCAGGAUCACAGGGAGAUAAGAUCUCUCAGCCUGUCCCUAGGGAGAAGACUCCCGUGUACAAAUAUCACCACUCAAAAAUGGGAUCUGCCAUGGUCACUCAUAAAUCCAUUCUCCCUGCAGAUCUUGUCAAAGGAAACUCAGCCUGCCCAUUGCAGACCACAACCUUCCCCAAUUCCUUUUCUCCUAUUUUUUGCCAAAGAGCUGCUGACACUCUGCUAGAAGAAUACCCUACUUGAACUCCAUAGUGAGAUCUGGAAUGUACCAAAGUCUUUUGAAAAACCAUUAGUAAGCUCAUGCAAUAGCAUUCACCAACUGCGUUUCUUCUGUGAAGCAAACAAUAGAUUCAAUCCCCUUAUGUGUCCUCUUUUUAAGAUGGAAGAACUGUGGGGAAGAGACCAAAAAGAAUGUUUGUGAAGGACCUUUAUGCCGGUAGUGUGUGGCCUGCCUGUUAAUCAUGGUAGUAAUCCUGCAUUUCUCUUACACUUUUCAACCGGUUAGGACUAUUUCAUCUGUCAGAGAAAUGCAGCUAUUUCACCAAGGUCCCAAUUCAGCGAAGCACUUAAGCAUGUGCUUAACUUUAAGCAUGGGAGUGGCCCCAUUGAAGUCAAUUUGGCACUCAUGUACUUAAAUUUGAGCAGAAAGCCAGGAUUAAUGCUUUAAGAAUGUUGCAGGAUCUCCAAUGAUUACAUGGGUGCGGGACUUUGCAAUCUGCACCCAGUGUUAAUAUUGGAAUAGUCUUAAGAGAGAAUCUGAAGUGAACAGGGUGGAGGACAUGUGAAUUCACAUCCUGUUGCUAUAACUGUUCAAUUAGAGAACGUUUCCUUUGAGUUGAGUUACGUAUUGAAGAGUCUUCACCACAUAAGAAGGUAAUUUUACAUUACGCAUUCUAAAACUUCCAAAAAAUAAUACAGUUGCCAUUUGUUUA